AAUUCUCAAAGCGAUUCUCGUCAAUGCCAUAAACAACAGACGCGCCAAUCGACUUGGUACUCUCCGCUUGUAGGCUUGUUAUUCAUCAACUUGGUUCCCCAGCAUAUAAUGCGCGGUGAUCGGUGAUCGAGGACGAUACUUACAAAUGAGAAAUGAAUAUAGGAUUCAAAUUCUUCACCAAAAUAAGAUGCAUAUAGAAAAUUUCCUUGAAUCCAUUACAAUGGUUAUUCUUGUAAGUCACUGCAGUCUCUUCACUUCUUUCAAGAUAUGAUACUGAAGGAAGCACAGAUGAGAAGCAGCCAAGAACAUUUGUGCAAAGUUAUGCAUCCUAAAAUCCCGGGAAAGAAGUAUAAUUCAUCAAAAUAAAAUAAAGAAAAACGAACAAGAACAAAGAGAACAAGAACGAGAAAGAGAUCAAUAGGGACAGAAGCAAAGCCUAUUUACCUUGUUCAAGAAUAGUGGGACUCGAGUUCAAUAAGAGAAUAAAACAAAACUAGUUUAGCUAAAACAGAGCCGAGCAGAACUACUUUACCUCCUUCAAUAAGGUCAAGAAUAGGAGAGGCGUGCAGCGUUCCCCAAAAUUCUUCAAAGUGAUUGAAAGCAAAAUACACAUCUGUUUAGGUUUUUUUUUUUUUUUUCAUUUUCCAUGUGAUUUUCCUUCCUGUUAUUUUUAGUAUAAAAACAACAGAUUUUUAUCUUCAUUUCUUAUGUAACGGUUAUUACAUUUGAUACAUCAUAUUGAAAGUACCAUAAAUUUAUUU